UACGGAGGGUGCGAGCGUUGUCCGGAAUCACUGGGCGUAAAGGGCGCGUAGGUGGCCUGUGGAAGUCUGCGGUGAAAGCCCGGCGCUCAACGCCGGGUCGGCCGUGGAUACUCUCGGGCUUGAGCUUACUAGAGGCAGAUGGAAUUCCGGGUGUAGCGGUGGAAUGCGUAGAUAUCAGGAGGAACACCGGUGGCGAAGGCGGGUCUCUGGGCCGUUACUGACGCUGAGGAGCGAAAGCGUGGGGAGCGAACAGG
rnacentral:rRNA from 1 species